GCUCAUCCCUGGACCGGAAAUUCUUUCCAGCUGCUGAAGAUGCCUUCGCAGCUCGUAUCCAGUAUUAGACGCCGUUUCCAGCGCUUAUCCCAGAGUCAGGGGCAGAUUGCUCACGUGUUACUCACCCGUUCGCCACUGAUCCAGCAGAGCAAGCUCCGCCUUCACCGUUCGACUUGCAUGUGUUAAGCACGCCGCCAGCGUUCAUCCUGAGCCAUGAUC
rnacentral:rRNA from 1 species